rnacentral:rRNA from 1 species
UACCAGCACCCCGAGUGGUCGGGACGUUUAUUGGGCCUAAAGCAUCCGUAGCCGGUUCUACAAGUCUUCCGUUAAAUCCAACUGCUUAACAGGUGGGCUGCGGAAGAUACUAUAGAGCUAGGAGGCGGGAGAGGCAAGCGGUACUCGAUGGGGUAGGGGUAAAAUCCGUUGAUCCAUUGAAGACCACCAGUGGCGAAGGCGGCUUGCCAGAACGCGCUCGACGGUGAGGGAUGAAAGCUGGGGGAGCAAACCGG